GGGCGGGCGCGGGGGCCCCCGGGACGAGGGGUGCAAGGCGCGCCCGGGGGCACCCUUGGGCUGGCCUGGCGCUGGGCCGUGCUUCGUUCGCCCCUCGCGCUGUGGCUCACCGUUUUCCUGGAGAGGGGACGUCGAGGCGGCGCGAGCGUCUCUGCCUGUCCUGGUCGCGUCCCGUCCCCGGGCUUGCGGGGCCGGCUCCCGGGCACCAGCCUGGCUUUGUUCCCGCGCCGUGGGACAGGACUAGUGGCUGGCGGUGGGUUCCCGGGCGCCUGGAGUCCCGCGGCGCCGGCCUUUCCGGCUGCGGGGGUCUCAGGGGCCGUUUGGUGACUGCAGGACGCGCCCUCCGGGAAGGGGGCGCUUCUGCGUGGCCACUCGCCCUUAGGCGGAGCCCGUCCGCGCGGCCAGGGACCCGGCGAGCCGCUGCCGUAGCCCCCACCAUCUGCCCGGGCCCCGGGUGCUGGCGGACCCCGCGCCUCCCCACGGGUAGAGAGACCGCCUAGUGUCCCGCCGACCCCACGGGCCCCGAGGAACGGAAGCCGGUCCGGGACCCAUCACAGUCUCCGAUCUCGGUGCCUGGGAGGCAUUUGGAGGCAGAUUGCUGCUGCUGCUUCUGCUGCUGCCGCCGCUGCUUCUGCUGUUGCUUUUGCGGGAAAUGGAGACAAAGCCUGAGCGCGCCACUGUGCGAGUGAUAUCUGCUUAGGCUUGAGACUUUUUAUGAAACAUUGAGAAGUUUGAAGUACAUUAGACUUUCACGACAUAAAGGAGUAUUUUUGUGGGUUGCUUUUGUUUGAGGCUUGUUUGCUGAGGCGGCUUAUAGUUUGGAGUGGUUGGGAUUUGGUGACGCUCAGCUUUGCCACUGAGCCCAAGAAUGCGUUAGGUUUAUCUUUAGGCUUUUGGCCUGGGAAAGAGAUGAGAGGCGUCCCCCUCCCCAAAUCCUCUCCUUCCUUCCUCCCUCCCUGCAUUCCAAGCCCAUGACAUCAGGGGUUUCUGGGGGGAGAGACCAGCCAAUCGGCGCGGAACUGCGCACAGAACGCUCAUUGUCUCCUUUCUGCUGUUCUGGCCAAAGCGCCACAAAGGAGGGCUGCUGUGGUUUAAUUCCCAUUAACGUCCCGGGAGCCCAGGCAUGUCAGGAUUGCCACCGCACCGUCCGACCGCUGGUGGAAGGCACUGGCAUUGUCAGAGCUGGAACAUCCCGGGGCUGCGGGGGGUAGGCGGUGUGAAGCGAAUUAUGUAAAGAGGAAGAGGCUAACUGGAAUAUUAAGAAGCAUGGAAUUGGAAUGCACAUUCUUCCAGUCUUCUGCCCCCUUGGAAUGUCUGAUUUGAGCAAAGCAGCUUCCCACAGGAUCUUCUUGGUUACAAAAUGGUUGGUCUUGAACUUCUGGCCUCAAGUGAUCCUACUGCCUUGGCCUGUUAAAGCACUGGGAUUACAGGUGUGAGCCACCAUUCCUAGCCUUGUUUUUCUUAAGUAGUUAAAUAGUUAAUAUUAUAUUGAAAAUUUUCAUCUUUGCUGCUGAUUUUGGGAUUAUUUCUUAAGAUAGAUAUUUUGACUGGGCUCUUUCUUAGACUUCCAAGUUAGGAAUGGUAGAGGUGUCCUCUGCAAGGAUUUGUCCAGUGCCUGCAUUUUCCUGAAUACUGCUGGAGAAGGGGCCAUUCAGCCAGGCCAGGGACUUUGCUCCUGGUAGGAACCAGCCGUUGCUGUUGGUCUGCUUUAGUUUUUGUUUUCCUGUCUUGACCAAAACAGAUAAAUAAGAUACACUUUGCUGAAGUGACAAGAGGUACCAUGCUUCCUCUUUAAAAUUCUCAGCCUUAUUUACUCUGGAGUUUUAAUGAGGAUUAUUAUCAAGCUCAUUGAUUUUUUACAGUCAAACAUUUGUGGAAAUUGUUCUGUCUCUAGCCACUCUUUUAGAUUUCAGAAACAAUCUUGACAAUGAUGACAUUGCUAAUACUACCAUCAACAGAGGUAUAGGCUUUUUUUUUUUUUUCCCUAUGCCUGUUUCUCUUCCGGGUUGGGACAUGAGGGUUAGUGUUUCCUGCCUCCUUUCCCUCUUUAACAGUGUAUCCUUAAAGCCAUAAUGAAUCUGCUCUGCGGCAUAAAAAAGUAAGCACAAUUGGAUGGUUUUGGUUUUUCACCCAUCAUUACCAUUGUAUUCAGGAGAGUGAGGAAAUGCAUUUUCUUCUCUCUCUUUUUUAUUUUUUUGAGAUGGAGUCUCCCUCUGUUGCCCAGGCUGGAGUGAGGUUGUGCGCUCUCGGCUCACUGCAACCUCCACCUCCCAGGUUCAAGCAAUUCUCCUGGCUUAGCCUCCCGAGUAGCUGGAAUUACAGGCACCUGCCACCACAUCUGACUAAUUUUUGUGUUCUUAGUAGAGUUGGGGUUUCACCAUGUUGGCCAGGCUGGUCUCAAACUCCUGACCUCAAGUGAUACACCUGCCUUGGCCUCCCAAAGAGCUGGGAUUACAGGUGUGAGCAACUGUGCCCAGCCCUGCAUUUUCUUUCUCAGUGAAACUAGGUGGUGGUUGGAGAAAGCUUGUCCUUAGAAUUUGUUGGCAAGUUCCAUUUAAAUCUAGGCAUUACCCUCCUGUAGCAUAUACCAUGUGUGCUGGCUCUCCUUAACUCUGAACUUAUUUUAUAGCCCAAAUGGGCUCUUAACUGUUAUUCAUGUGUACUUGUACCCUCAGAUUUUUGUUAAGGAUUCUUGGAACUCAUAGGUAGAUCCAGGUUGUUUGUGGGGACGAAGUUUAUACAAUUUGGGGGUCCUCAUUAUGAAAAAUAUAUAAAUAUCUUUUAAGUUUUACAAAAACCUAUGGCCAUGUGAACCCUUUUGAACUUGAAGACUUCCCCAUACCUGUCAUACAAGGUUCUUGUCAGAGGGAUAGUAGAGCUUAGUGGUUAAGAACAUGGACUGUGGGAACUGGGUUGGAUACCUGGUUCUGCAUCUUACUGUGAACUUUGGCAAGUGACUUAACCUGCCUGUCUUGUAUGUAAAAUGAGGAUAUCAUAACACUCAUCUUUAUAGGGUUGUUGGGAGAAAUCAGAUAGAUAAUCCAUGUAAAGUGUGUAGAAUAAUGCCUGGAAUCAAAAGCCCACAUUAUAUAAAUUUCAGCCAUGGUUUCAUUUUGCUGACUGGUUCUCUGCUAAUUAGGCUCAGUCUUGUGUUCUGAGCUGCUUUUCUCUUCUGGAUGUUGAUAUUAUGUCUAGAACUUUAAUAUUCAUUCACGAAUCUGUUUGUAUCUGCCUGAGAUUUCUGGUGGAUAGGGGACCAUGACAUCAAGCAGUACUACUGUGUUUCAUUUCUGUGUCAGGAAUGUGAUCUGCCCCAGAGUCCUUAUCCAGGACUCCACCACCAGGCAGCCUGUGAGGCAUUUCCACAGUGAAAGCACCAGGUCUGUAGAUCUCCACCAUUCUGUCCACAUUGCCCUUGGGGCUGAGGACUUCUCUGUACAGCUAGAGGUCUUGCUUACUGGGCAUGGUUGUAUUCUGCUUUUUCUAACAGGUUGAUUCCUUUUAAAUAAGAUGUAUCUUUCCUUUCUUGGUUUCAGAUAGGGCUUGUAUUUCUCCACAGCUGGCUGGUUAACAUAUUUUCCUUCAAGUGUUUGAAUUUGGUUUGCUUGAAUCUGGAGGUUUUGAGUUUAUGUGUUCUUAUGAAGUUUCUACCUAGACCUGUGUGAAGCAAGUCCUUGAGUGGAGAAGACUAAUUCUUAGUUUUCCCCCACAAGGUAGGGAGGGACCAGGAAACUUCAGGGUGUGGGCAUGACUGUUAGGUGCUGUGUCUGCAGUGGGAAGGCCAGGGAAUUGGAGGCAUGAAUGCAGAGAAAAGAGGAGGCCUUUUGUGCUUCGAAGGACUCUUCUGGGUCAGUUGUAACCUAAGCAUUUAUGGUUAUUUCCCCUCUCCUGGAUAAUUUUCCAGGGAACUCUAGCUGUGGAGUGGCCACACUGGGCGGGCUAUGGCUUCAUUGCUUCUUCCUGCCUCCACUCCCAAAUGUUUGGACACUGAUCUUUCUCCAUUAUCUGCAGCUUCUCACCCUUAAUGUUACCCAGGCUGUACGAAUGGAUAGUGUGUGCUUCAUUAGUGCACAUUUCCCGGUCUCCUUUUGUUUCUUGUGGGAGGAAAUAGGAGAGAAAACAAUCAAUACCAUGUGUAGCAAGUCUCUGUCCUGCUGUUGGUUAAUUCAAACAUGUGAUUCCACUUUGAAUGCAAAAAUAGCAACAGCAAUCAUAUUAUGCUUCUAAUUGAGUGUAGAAAUUAUACGUACAUUAGGCAUCAUCUUGUGAGCUUGCUGUGGUCCUUGGCCCUUAGCAGCUAAGCUGGAACCCUAGGGCUGCUCUUUAGAGUCCACCUAUGGCUAGAUGCCUUCCCCUGAAUGGUCCCAUUCUCUGCUCUGAAUACUGGCGUGCAUUUGUUUCUGGAUUCUCCUUAUCUUUCUUCAAAGAAUUGGAUGUUGUAUUUUUAAAAAACCCCAUCCCCACCUCUCCCCGCUUACACACACACAGACGCAGUCUUUGCCAGCCAGAUUUUCAUUUCAAGGUUUCUUCCUCUCUGAGCUUUCCCCUGCUUCUUUUUCUUCUUUAGUGCACCCUUUCCUGCAGCUGGUCUUACAUCACCUUCAAAAACAUGCAUGUGGCAGGAGGUUAGUCUUCAUAUGGGCCAGCGGGAGAGUUAACGUGUUUUUAGUCUGAAACAGCUCUGCCAAAUCUUAUGAACUUUUUUUUUUUUUUUUUUUUUUUUUGAGACAGUCUUGCUCUGUCACCUGGGCUGGAGUACAGUGGCACGAUCUCGGCUCACUGCAACUUCUACCUCCUGGGUUCAAGCAAUUCUCAUGCCUCAGCCUCCUGAGAAGCUGGGAUUACAGUCACGCACCACCAUGUCCGGCUAAUUUUUGUAUUUUUAGUAGAGAUGGGGUUUUACCAUGUUGGCCAGGCUGGUCUUGAACUCCUGACCUUAAGUGAUCCACUUGUCUCAGCUUCCCAAAGUGUUGGGAUUACAGGUGUGAGCCACCGCGCCCGGCCUUAUUAUGAACUUUUGAACCAUGCUGGCAACGCACUUUGGAACUAAGGAUUCCUAUGGGCUUGUUUAAAUCAAUUCCUCCCACCCCCU